rnacentral:misc_RNA from 1 species
GAUGAAGAACGUAGCGAAAUGCGAUACGUAAUGUGAAUUGCAGAAUUCAGUGAAUCAUCGAAUCUUUGAACGCACAUUGCACUCUCUGGUAUUCCGGAGAGUAUGCUUGUUUGAGUAUCUGUAAACAUCUCAAAUCUCUCUUCGCUUGCGUCGAGAGAAUUGGAUUUGAGCGAUCCCGACUCCUUCGUCAGAAAGAGGAGGGUCGCUUGAAAUGCAGGUGCAGCUGGACAUUCUUCUGAGCUAAAAGCAUAUCUAUUUAGUCCCGUCAAACGGAUUAUUACUUUUGCUUCAGCUAAUAUAAAGGUCGAAUGAACUACCAACGCUGAUUGCAGGAAAACUUGUUCGUUUAUUCGGACUUGUAAACUCGAUCUCAAAUCAAGUAAGACUACCCGCUGAACUUAAGCAUAUCAAUAAGCGGAGGA